rnacentral:rRNA from 1 species
CGCACAUGCACUUGAUCCAGCAUCAAGUAUGGGGGAGUGAGAGAGUAUUUCUUCGGCCACCUCUUUUGGUACCGGCUUUUAUACCUCAAAUAAAAAAACCAUUUUUUUCCUCACUGUCCCAAGACUACCCGCUGAACUUAAGCAUAUCAAUAAGCGGAGGAAAAGAAACCAACAGGGAUUACCUCAGUAACGGCGAGUGAAGCGGUAAAAGCUCAAAUUUGAAAUCUUCGGAAUUGUAAUUUGAUGGAUAAAAUUUGCCUCCGGUCGAAAGUUCACUGGAAAGUGACGCCAUAGAGGGUGAUAGCCCCGUAACGUCCACCGGCACUAUAAUUUUAUUCCAAAGAGUCGGGUUGUUUGGGAAUGCAGCUCAAAGUGGGUGGUAAAUUCCAUCUAAAGCUAAAUAUUGACGAGAGACCGAUAGCGAACAAGUACAGUGAUGGAAAGAUGAAAAGAACUUUGAAAAGAGAGUGAAACAGUACGUGAAAUUGUUGAAAGGGAAGGGGAGGGAAGAUGUUAAAGGGAACUCCUUCAGCGUAGGGAUCCCCCCAAAGAGUCUUUCCUCUC